GUUAUGUCCACCAUUAACAACACUGUUUGGGCACAAGGCCUCUUUGCUAUACUAAAUAUAAAUUAAAAAACUGCUUAACAAGGAACACAGUGAGGAAUCUUAUGGGGAUGCCUCUCAACCUGAACAAACUAAAUGAGCAACAAACUAAAAAGAAAAACUUGCAAUAUUUAUUCUUUUUGUCUAUUUACUGAGUUAAUCUAAAAUAAUGUUUUCCUUUACCAGGUCUGCAAUGAACAUGGAUUUGACAAACUAUGCCCGGACCCAACUGGCUGGAUAGACCUCGAACAAUGUGUUGGAUCAGGAGGAUUUGGAGUAAUCCAUAAGGCAUGGCAUUUUAAGGAAAAGAAAGAAGUGGCCAUAAAAGUGAUAAAAGACCUUAGGGAUAAUGAAGAGAUCCUUGCUGAACUGUACGUACUUGAACGCGUUUCUGGCCACGACAACUUCCCUGCCUUUUAUGGAGCCUUUUAUCUACGGCCCAGCAUUUCAAAUGAAGAGGCGCUAUGGGUAAGGAUAUACUUCUUAAAUAAAAGCACACAAUGGUCUUGCAUUGCACAUGCCAAGAAGGAGAAAAUCUCAAUCAAAGUUAAUAAAU